UGUAGUUCUAGGUAAGUGAUCAGGCGGCUCAGUGAAGAGCCUGAAAAACCAAACCUGCAGUUCCUGGGCGCGAAUUAACUCGUCCAGUGUGGACUAUCUGUGCACAUCUUGCGAAUCCUAAUGAACUGACCAGCAGCAUUUUCACAAGUUGAAAUGAACAGAGAGCUUUUAGAGCCAACAUGUAACAGAUGGAUGUGAGCCCAAGGCCAUCAUCUUCAUGCCGACACUCUUGACUGGGUAGGAUCUGUCUCUUCAUCUUUGAUCUGGAUUGCUGGCAAAUAAAAGGAGUUCAUGUAGUGUUUUAGUUAAGCUUGAGUCACCAUGAGUAGUAGUUUAGGAAAA
rnacentral:lncRNA from 1 species